GCCGAGGUGGCGGAAUUGGUAGACGCGUACGUUUGAGGGGCGUAUGGGGAGACCUGUGCGGGUUCAAGUCCCGCCCUCGGCACCA
rnacentral:tRNA from 3 species